rnacentral:rRNA from 1 species
GAAUCUUUUGCAAUGGACGAAAGUCUGACAAAGCGACGCUGUGUGAAUGAUGAAGGCCUUCGGGUUGUAAAGUUCUUUCGCUUAGGAACAAGGCAAUGUUAUGAAUAAUAGCAGAGUUUGAGCGUACUAAGUAAAGAAGCACCGGCUAACUCCGUGCCAGCAGCUGCGGUAAUACGGAGGGUGCAAGCAUUAAUCGGAUUUACUGGGCGUAAAGGGCGCGUAGGCGGACAUAUAAGUUAGAUGUGAAAUUUCGGUGCUCAACACCGAAGCUGCAUUUAAAACUGUAUAUCUUGAGGGUAGGCGGAGAAAAUGGAAUUCCACGUGUAGCGGUGAAAUGCGUAGAUAUGUGGAAGAACACCGGUGGCGAAAGCGAUUUUCUAGCUUAUACCUGACGCUGAGGCGCGAGAGCAAGGGUAGCAAACAGGAUUAGAUACCCUUGUAGUC